rnacentral:lncRNA from 1 species
GACUUUCCAGGCUUGCGAAAAUUCAGAGAGAGGCAAAAGUUCAAUCCAUUUGGUGGGAAGCAGACUGGGUUCGUGUGGAUGGUGCUGCCACCACUGGUGCACCACUGCGCCGGGCACAGGACGCUCUCCCAGCUGAAGACAGUUGUGGGAAACCCCUCCCACCCUCAGAGCUGUCCUUCCUUCCCCUUGGCAGGCCCAAGUGCCGUCGGGGCUGCGCAGCCGCAGUGAAUGGGGUGACCUGAGAGGAAGAAGAACACGUCUAAGUGGCAGACAGUCCCGGGCCCGCUCCUCACCGCAGUCUUCAUUUUCCCUUCACUCAUUCAGCAAAGAAUUACUAAGCGCCUACUGCGCAGGAAGCACUGGAAGCGUCGUGGCAGAAGCUUCUUCCUGGAAGAAAAAGUAAACUUCUUGAGGCUUCUUCUCGAGUUGUAGGUCUUAAUCUCAUUUCAGGAUUUGGUUAUCCAGAGGCCCAGCACUACCUUCAGAUCGGAGCUGAGAUGCACAGGCCCUGGUGGGAGAGCGUGACGUGCAGUGCUUUCUCGUGGAACCGGGCCCUGGCGGACCAGGCUGCAAACCCGCGUCUGCUGACUCACUCAUUCUCGCCACACACUUCGCGCCAGCCUGGCCCGGGCAAAAACAAACAGCGCAGGCUCUGCACUUCUCUGGAGCAGGCUCCCGGGGACCCUGGCACCGGGAUCCCCGCACGUACCAAGGAUGGAACUCAUGGCAUCACACAUCUAGGCAAGAGCUCACUGCUGAGCUACACUUCUAGUCCUGAUCUUUUUCAUACAAAUGAACUGGAUUUUAGACAACUUGGUCUCAGAGAAGAUCCUGUUUCAUUCUUGGGAAAUCUGCAGUUUUUUGCAUUCAUCAGGUGACUUUGAAAUUUGCCAAAUCUGAGACAUAGCUGAGAGGGAGUAAGCGCUGUUUCCUGAAGGAGGAAUAAUUCUUAAGAAGAAAGAAUUCCACAGCUGUUGGGAACCUUGCUGAUUUUUGUAAUUUAUUUCCUUUUUCAUAGUUUCAAAAAGUCUCCCACGAGACAAAGAAGUGCAAGCACUUUCUAAUACUAUAAUUUGCUUUCCA